rnacentral:rRNA from 1 species
AUUGAACGCUGGCGGCAGGCCUAACACAUGCAAGUCGAACGGUAACAGGAAGAAGCUUGCUUCUUUGCUGACGAGUGGCGGACGGGUGAGUAAUGUCUGGGAAACUGCCUGAUGGAGGGGGAUAACUACUGGAAACGGUAGCUAAUACCGCAUAACGUCGCAAGACCAAAAAGGGGGACCUUCGGGCCUCUUGCCAUCGGAUGUGCCCAGAUGGGAUUAGCUAGUAGGUGGGGUAACGGCUCACCUAGGCGACGAUCCCUAGCUGGUCUGAGAGGAUGACAGGCCACACGGGAAUUGAAACCGGGCCCGGACCCCUAGGGGGGGCAGCAGGGGGGAAAUUUGCAAAAGGGGGGAAAGCCUGAGGCAGCCAUGCCGGGUGGAUGAAGAAGGCCUUGGGGUUUUAAAGUCCUUUCGGGGGGGGGGAAGGGAGUAAAGUUAAACCCUUGGCUCAUUGACUUUCCCCGAAGAAGAAGCACCGGCUAACUCCGU